GCCUGGGUGGCUCAGUCGGUUGAGUGUCUGACUUCAGCUCAGAUCAUGAUCUCACGAUCUGUGAGUUCGAGCCCCGUGUCAGGCU
rnacentral:tRNA from 1 species